AAUUACUUUUCAUCUCAACCGAGAUUUCCGAUCGUCGUCGUUUUGAUAAUUAAGCUAAUUCUGCGGGUGUUUGCAUUUUUCGUGAUGCGCAGAAGGUGGUGAAGGAUUCGUCGAGAGAUUCUAAUGGAGUUCGCCGGAAUGCUUUGGUGCUAUCCGGAAGCAAAAGACCGUCGUCGGAGUCUUUUCGGAGCAGUGAUGAUCGUCGAUUUAGCAAUGCCAAAAGAAUGAGAGUGGGUGUGAGUGCACGGAGCUACGGGUACGACAGCCGUUUAGACGAUUCAAAAGAUCUUCGCCUGAAACUAACACGCAAGAGAAUGGUUAUUCUGUUCUGAAAUAAUAGGAAUUCUACGUCUUGCACGAUCCAGCCUCAUUGGUAUUCUUGUUUUCAAUUAUAAAAUAUUAUUUCCAAUCUUAUUUCUGUAAUGAGGAUUUUCAGAUUGCUUUACUCCGGUGAGGUUUACACCUAUUUUUAUUUUUGACAUGACUGAGUAUGCCUGUGGAGUGUGGACUACAAAUUUCUUACCUAUUGAUUUAGAUGUGUCACAAAUUACAUUAGUUCUCAUUCUCUACUGUGAUUGUAAAGUGCAGUUUGGGAAUGCUUCUGACACAGCCAUGAAUUUGCUUGAUGAAAAAUUUAAGUUCCUCGCAUGAGCAAAACAGAUAAUCAGUAGGACGGAUGAAGUUCAAAAGGCACUGCUGGCAUGCCUCCAAGAUGCCCCAAAUAAUUCCCUCUUUCAUAAAGAAAACUGCUAUGGAAAGAUGUACCUUCUUAGCACUUGCGAUGAUUCCUUCUUCACCAAACAUUCAAGAAAAUCACAUUUUCCUGAAACAUGGCUCACCGGCAGAGACUGAUUAAGGGCAGGAAGUAGAAGCUAUGAAGGAGCGGAUAUGGUGAGACGGCAGUUGACAGGGGUCGAAACUGGAGGCUUCUUCGUGCUUUUGAUGCUAUGCCAAAGCUUUUCCCCAGGAUCUCAUGAUGGAGAGAUUAGUUGGAAUUUGGAAAUAGUUCAACAACCCUUUUACUGAUUUGUUUUGAUUAAAUUUUCAUUUAGCCUUUGCAUAUGGGACUUUAGAACUUGAGAGCUUGAGAGAAAAUGUUAUCCUAAUGUUGUUACUGAGGUUUUUCAGAAUGCCCCUUCUAUGCUUAUUGUUGAGGUUAGAAAAGCAAAGUCAGAUACAUGCUAGACGCCGCUUUGUUCGAUUCUCGCCGCGGCCACCCCUUCCACUGAUACACAUGGUAGGCCACGUUCCGACGGCUUUCACCUACUUUUUUUCCACCUCGGCCCCUUCUCGACCACAUCGAAGAUUGGAUAAUUCAAAAAUAAUGAUUUCUGGUGCGUCGUCCUUUUUUUUUCACUUCUCCAUUUCUCUUCCAAAAAUUAUGCAAAUAUAUGUCAAUCAGCCAUUUUCUUUGCUGCUCCUGUUUUUUUUUCUUACUGCAAGAUCGGUUCCACUAAAGAAAAAAAAAAUAUUGGGUUUUCUAAGUUCCCUGUUUCCGUCCAAAAUUAGGCGUCGCGCUUCUAGCCAACCACACUUCGUUCCAUGCUUCGGAAUUCUAUCGAAUGAGGUGGACUCAAUUUUUUUUGUCUUUGUUAUAUUUCAGCCAUUUUUCCUCCUGUCAGCACUAAAAGAUUCUGUUUUUCCAGAUUUUAUUUUUUAUUUUUUAUUUUUUUAU